rnacentral:rRNA from 1 species
AUUGAACGCUGGCGGCAUGCUUUACACAUGCAAGUCGAACGGGGUGAAGGGGUAACUCUUCAUUCAGUGGCGAACGGGUGAGUAAUGCAUCGGAACGUACCUCGUAGUGGGGGAUAACUCGGCGAAAGCCGUGCUAAUACCGCAUAUGCUCUACGGAGGAAAGCAGGGGACCGCAAGGCCUUGUGCUAUGGGAGCGGCCGAUGUCCGAUUAGCUAGUUGGUGGGGAAUGGCCUACCAAGGCGACGAUCGGUAGCUGGUCUGAGAGGAUGAUCAGCCACACUGGGACUGAGACACGGCCCAGACUCCUACGGGAGGCAGCAGUGGGGAAUUCUGGACAAUGGGGGCAACCCUGAUCCAGCCAUUCCGCGUGAGUGAAGAAGGCC